GCCCUCGGAGCCAGCCUCGAGGGCGCGGGGACGGAGCGCGCCGGCCUCGUCUGGGCGCCCGGCUGGGGGCGUCCCUGGCCCUGGUCCUCGGGUGCGCGGCGCGGAGAUGGCACGCUGGCUCCUCUCUCUUCUCCAGAGCCCCUUCGCACUAUCCCCGGCUAAAGGCGGCCGGGCCGGGGCUUGGAGAGCAAAAGGAAAUUGCAUCAUUCACCUUCUAGCCAACUUGACAGCAUAAGUUUUAGGAGUCAAGAAUCACCGUUGGGUUUUUCUUAAGAUUAAGCCUGGAAAGUCCACUUGGAUGUGGACUUGGUCCACUUGGUCCACUUGAAGUCCGUUUGGUCACAGCUGUGUGCACACUUGCACCUGUAAAUGGUCUUCCAUCAAAGAGCUCUCCCUCUUCAGCUAUAACAACAGCAGUGGUUCGAAGAAAGGGGACCCACUAUCUGAACAACCUCAGCCAGACUAAUCAAAUCAGUCUUUGUGAGCAAGGGGCAAAGCUGUGCAAGGGUGGCCCCCUCACGCCUUUCCGGAGCAGCCCCUUCUAAGAUUGGCACCUACAUGCUGAUCAUACCCUGUAUGAGGGAUGGAUUGAAGAGUCCCAUGAACGGAUUAGGCUUAUUGUAAAAGAGGAAAUAUUUGACCCAAAUUGAAGUUAAUUUCAUGGAUAAAACUCAAAAUAUUACUCUGGAUAUGAAUUAUGUUUAUGGACAUUUAUAUAUGUAUGAAUAUAUAGUUAUGUGGAUACAUGUUUCCAUGUAUCAGAAAUUAGCACAACUUAAACUUAGUAAAUGUUGAAAAUAAAACUAUUUUGGAUACUAGAA